CAGGACGAACGCUGGCGGCGUGCUUAACACAUGCAAGUCGAGCGAUGAAACACCUUCGGGUGUGAAUUAGCGGCGAACGGGUGAGGAACACGUGAGAAAUCUGCCUUCAACACUGGGAUAACUCCGGGAAACCGGGGCUAAUACCGGAUAUGAAAUCUGCGGGCAUCCGCGGAUUUGGAAAGUUUUUCGGUUGAAGAUGAUCUCGCGGCCUAUCAGCUUGUUGGUGAGGUAAUGGCUCACCAAGGCGACGACGGGUAGCCGGCCUGAGAGGGCGACCGGCCACACUGGGACUGAGACACGGCCCAGACUCCUACGGGAGGCAGCAGUGGGGAAUAUUGGGCAAUGGAGGAAACUCUGACCCAGCGACGCCGCGUGCGGGAUGAAGGCCUUCGGGUUGUAAACCGCUUUCAGCAGGGAAGAAGCGAAAGUGACGGUACCUGCAGAAGAAGCACCGGCUAACUAUGUGCCAGCAGCCGCGGUAAUACAUAGGGUGCAAGCGUUGUCCGGAAUUAUUGGGCGUAAAGAGCUCGUAGGUGGUUCGUCACGUCGGAUGUGAAACUCUGGGGCUUAACCCCAGACCUGCAUUCGAUACGGGCGAGCUUGAGUAUGGUAGGGGAGUCUGGAAUUCCUGGUGUAGCGGCGGAAUGCGCAGAUAUCAGGAGGAACACCAAUGGCGAANGCAGGACUCUGGGCNNUUACUGACACUGANGAGCGAAAGCGUGGGGAGCGAACAGGAUUAGAUACCCUGGUAGUCCACGCCGUAAACGGUGGGCACUAGUUGUGGGGACCUUCCACGGUCUCUGCGACGCA
rnacentral:rRNA from 1 species